rnacentral:lncRNA from 1 species
AGAAAAUGCAGAAAACAUGCAAUUAAGGGGAAAUAAACCCUAGGAAAAAUAUUAGGGUUUUACGGGUUCUCACACUCUCCCCCCCUUAAAAGAAUUUCGUCCUCGAAAUUCCUUAUCAGCGGAAUCCCUCAAAUCUAAGGUACCCAACGGAUCAAGCAAAUGACAAGCCCAAAUUGCCUACCUAGGCUCUCAUCUCUUCCGUAUCCGGGCACAAGAAUCCCAUCUAAGAUAAUUCACAACUCGAGCCGGCCGGUCCCAAGAGUAAACCAUCCUUAUUAAAGAUUCCUACCCGACAUACAUACCUAGUUUCCUCGAGUCCCAUGAUAAUGAUUCGCACACUUAUCACAUGCCCGGUUCAUAACUUACGCUCAAACGAGCACUUAAACACAUUCAUGAAAUUAGGACCACAACACCACUUGGCCCAGUCUCACUC